rnacentral:rRNA from 1 species
GGCGAACGGGUGAGUAAUAUAUUGGGACGUACCGAGUAAUGGGGGAUAACCAAUCGAAAGAAUUGGCUAAUACCGCAUACGCUCUGAGGAGGAAAGCAGGGGACCUUCGGGCCUUGCGUUAUUCGAGCGGCCAAUAUCUGAUUAGCUAGUUGGUGGGGUAAAGGCCUACUAAGGCGACGAUCAGUAGCGGGUCUGAGAGGAUGAUCCGCCACACUGGGACUGAGGCACGGCCCAG